AGUUGGUGGUGAAAUCCCAGAGCUUAACUCUGGAACUGCCAUCAAAACUUUUCAGCUAGAGUAUGAUAGAGGAAAGCAGAAUUUCUAGUGUAGAGGUGAAAUUCGUAGAUAUUAGAAAGAAUACCAAUUGCGAAGGCAGCUUUCUGGAUCAUUACUGACACUGAGGAACGAAAGCAUGGGUAGCGAAGAGGAUUAGAUACCCUCGUAGUCCAUGCCGUAAACGAUGUGUGUUAGACGUUGGAAAUUUAUUUUCAGUGUCGCAGCGAAAGCGAUAAACACACCGCCUGGGGAGUACGACCGCAAGGUUAAAACUCAAAUGAAUUGACGGGGACCCGCACAAGUAGUGGAGCAUGUGGUUUAAUUCGAAGAUACGCGCAGAACCUUACCAACACUUGACAUGUUCGUCGCGACUUUAAGAGAUUAAAGUUUUCGGUUCGGCCGGACGAAACACAGGUGCUGCAUGGCUGUCGUCAGCUCGUGUCGUGAGAUGUUGGGUUAAGUCCCGCAACGAGCGCAACCCUCACUUUUAGUUGCCAUCAUUAAGUUGGGCACUCUGAAAGAACUGCCAGUGAUAAGCUGGAGGAAGGUGGGGAUGACGUCAAGUCCUCAUGGCCCUUACGUGUUGGGCUACACACGUGCUACAAUGGUAUCUACAACAGGAAGCAAGACGGCGACGUUAAGCAAAUCCUUAAAAGAUACCUCAGUUCGGAUUGCACUCUGCAACUCGAGUGCAUGAAGCUGGAAUUACUAGUAAUCGUGGAUCAGCGUGCCACGGUGAAUGCGUUCCCGGGUCUUGUACACACCGCCCGUCACACCAUGGGAGUUGGUUCUACCUUAAGGCAAGGUUUAAAACCCUUGACCACGGUAUAGUCAGCGACUGGGGUGAAGUCGUAACAAGGUAGCCGUAGGGGAACCUGCGGCUG
rnacentral:rRNA from 1 species